AAAUUGAAGAGUUUGAUCAUGGCUCAGAUUGAACGCUGGCGGCAGGCCUAACACAUGCAAGUCGAACGGUAACAGGAAACAGCUUGCUGUUUCGCUGACGAGUGGCGGACGGGUGAGUAAUGUCUGGGAAACUGCCUGAUGGAGGGGGAUAACUACUGGAAACGGUAGCUAAUACCGCAUAACGUCGCAAGACCAAAGAGGGGGACCUUCGGGCCUCUUGCCAUCGGAUGUGCCCAGAUGGGAUUAGCUAGUAGGUGGGGUAACGGCUCACCUAGGCGACGAUCCCUAGCUGGUCUGAGAGGAUGACCAGCCACACUGGAACUGAGACACGGUCCAGACUCCUACGGGAGGCAGCAGUGGGGAAUAUUGCACAAUGGGCGCAAGCCUGAUGCAGCCAUGCCGCGUGUAUGAAGAAGGCCUUCGGGUUGUAAAGUACUUUCAGCGGGGAGGAAGGGAGUAAAGUUAAUACCUUUGCUCAUUGACGUUACCCGCAGAAGAAGCACCGGCUAACUCCGUGCCAGCAGCCGCGGUAAUACGGAGGGUGCAAGCGUUAAUCGGAAUUACUGGGCGUAAAGCGCACGCAGGCGGUUUGUUAAGUCAGAUGUGAAAUCCCCGGGCUCAACCUGGGAACUGCAUCUGAUACUGGCAAGCUUGAGUCUCGUAGAGGGGGGUAGAAUUCCAGGUGUAGCGGUGAAAUGCGUAGAGAUCUGGAGGAAUACCGGUGGCGAAGGCGGCCCCCUGGACGAAGACUGACGCUCAGGUGCGAAAGCGUGGGGAGCAAACAGGAUUAGAUACCCUGGUAGUCCACGCCGUAAACGAUGUCGACUUGGAGGUUGUGCCCUUGAGGCGUGGCUUCCGGAGCUAACGCGUUAAGUCGACCGCCUGGGGAGUACGGCCGCAAGGUUAAAACUCAAAUGAAUUGACGGGGGCCCGCACAAGCGGUGGAGCAUGUGGUUUAAUUCGAUGCAACGCGAAGAACCUUACCUGGUCUUGACAUCCACAGAACCCUGUAGAGAUACGGGGGUGCCUUCGGGAACUGUGAGACAGGUGCUGCAUGGCUGUCGUCAGCUCGUGUUGUGAAAUGUUGGGUUAAGUCCCGCAACGAGCGCAACCCUUAUCCUUUGUUGCCAGCGGUCCGGCCGGGAACUCAAAGGAGACUGCCAGUGAUAAACUGGAGGAAGGUGGGGAUGACGUCAAGUCAUCAUGGCCCUUACGACCAGGGCUACACACGUGCUACAAUGGCGCAUACAAAGAGAAGCGACCUCGCGAGAGCAAGCGGACCUCAUAAAGUGCGUCGUAGUCCGGAUUGGAGUCUGCAACUCGACUCCAUGAAGUCGGAAUCGCUAGUAAUCGUGGAUCAGAAUGCCACGGUGAAUACGUUCCCGGGCCUUGUACACACCGCCCGUCACACCAUGGGAGUGGGUUGCAAAAGAAGUAGGUAGCUUAACCUUCGGGAGGGCGCUUACCACUUUGUGAUUCAUGACUGGGGUGAAGUCGUAACAAGGUAACCGUAGGGGAACCUGCGGUUGGAUCACCUCCUUACCUUAAAGAAGC
rnacentral:rRNA from 1 species